UACCAGCUCUUCGAGUGGUGUGGAUGUUUAUUGGGCCUAAAGCAUCCGUAGCUGGCUGGGCAAGUCCCCUGUUAAAUCCACCGAUUUAAUCGUUGGAGUGCGGGGGAUACUGUUCGGCUAGGGGACGGGAGAGGCAGACGGUAUUUUCGGGGUAGGGGUGAAAUCCUAUAGUCCCGGGAAGACCACCAGUGGCGAAGGCUGUCUGCUAGAACGCGCCCGACGGUGAGGGAUGAAAGCUGGGGGAGCGAACCGGAUUAGAUACCCGGGUAGUCCCAGCUGUAAACGAUGCAGGCUAGGUGUUUGGGCGGCCACGUGCCGCUCUAGUGCCGCAGGGAAGCCGUUAAGCCUGCCGCCUGGGGAGUACGGCCGCAAGGCUGAAACUUAAAGGAAUUGGGCGGGGAGCACCACAAGGGGUGAAGCUUGCGGUUU
rnacentral:rRNA from 1 species